AAAAAAAAAAAAAAAACAAAAGUCAAUAGAUAGUGGUGAAAAGUUCUUUUCGAACAUAAUCACAAAGAUCUGUUCGAAAUUUUUUUAUUGAAUUUCCUGUACUAACUUGUGGUGAACAAAAUUAUAAAUUUUGCAAAAUAAUUAAAAGUGGUUUAUUAUCGGCGGUCCCAGAUUGUCAUAAAAGGGCUGGGCCGCCGCACCGUUAUAAAAAAAUUCAUUAUUUUUCAACCUCUUUUUUUUGGAUGAAAAGAAAGAAAAUUGUGUCCUGGUCCACAGUCAACUGACUUCGACACCGCUUUGCGAAGGGAGCCUUAGGCCGUCCAUCGAAGCACCCAGUAAGACUUGAGGGCUGGUCUAUACCAAAGUACCCCUGAAUUGCCCUAAAAAGAAAACGAAAGUACUCGCCUGCAAUAAUAAAAACAAAGGUCGCAGUGAGUUUUUUUAAACAAUAAAAAAAAUCAAAAAUACACCUAAAACAAAGGAAAUCUACCAAAAAUAUAAAAGAAAGUUCACCCCAUCAACACGUGUCCAACAAAAACGGGACCGUUUUUAAAAUUUAUGUGUUUGUGUUGUUUCUAUUUAUUAAUUAUUUGUUUUUUUGGCGUUUUAACUACAUUUUUUCAAUAUAUUUUUUUGGUUCUUUUUUCUUAAAAUUCAAAAAUAUUAAAAUUUACAUUGUAAGUGAUAAAAAAAAAAUAAUUCCACAGGGGUCCACGCGGAUUUUGAAAUUUUUAUUUUCCUAGGGUUAGGACCUCCAAAGAGCUCUCUAGGGGUUGGGGAUCCUGGGACGUUUUUUUUUUUUGUAUUUGAGUAGGUACCACAAAGGGUAUCCUGAUUUUUUUUUUUUUGUUUUUUUGUUCAUUGCCUCGAAAAGGAAUCGUUUUUUUUUGUUACAUUUUUCUUUUGUUUUGCUUAGUUUUUUUUUG